GACGAACGCUGGCGGCGUGCUUAAAACAUGAAAGUCGAACGAUGAUGCUGGAGCUUGCUCCAGUUGAUUAGUGGCGAACGGGUGAGUAACACGUGAGCAAUCUGCCCUUGACUCUGGGAUAACUGCGGGAAACGGUAGCCAAUACCGGAUACUUUCGCCGGGGGGCAUCCUCUGGUGAUGAAAGAAUGUCGGUCAAGGAUGAGCGCGCGGCCUAUCAGCUUGUUGGUGAGGUAUCGGCUCACCAAGGCGACGACGUGUACCAGGCCUGCGAGGUGGACCGGUCAGACUGGGACUGUGACACGGCCCGGACUCCUACGGGAGUCAGCAGUGGGGAGUAUUGCACAAUGGGCGCAAGCCUGAUGCAGCAACGACGCGUGAGGGAUGAAGGCCUUCGGGUUGUAAACCUGUUUUAGCAGGGAAGAAGCGAAAGUGACGGUACCUGCAGAAAAAGCACCGGCUAACUACGUGCCAGCAGCCGCAGUAA
rnacentral:rRNA from 1 species